AGAGCAUACGGUGGAUGCCUUGGCGAUAUCUGCCGAUGAAGGACGCGACAAGCUGCGAAAAGCUGCGGUGAGGUGCAAAUGACCUUUGACCCGCAGAUGUCCGAAUGGAGCAAUCCGGCUGUGGUUAUGCACAGUCACCCAUGCCUGUGAGUAUGGGAGGGAACCAGGCGAACUGAAACAUCUAAGUAGCCUGAGGAGAAGUAAUCAAACGAGAUACCCCCAGUAGCGGCGAGCGAACGGGGCAGAAGCCCAAACCGCAGAAGGAAACUUUUACGGGGUUGAGGGCCGUCAUACGAACGUGGAAUCCAGCUGAAGCUUCUGGGAAGGAGCGCCGCAGGAUGUGAAAGCCAUGUAAGCGAAAGAGGAAGCGGAACAGACGGUACCAGAGUACCGCGGGACACGAGAAACCCCGUGGGAAGCAGGGGGGACCACCCUCCAAGGCAAAACACAGAUAUCGACCGAUAGCGCAUAGUACCAUGAGGGAAAGGUGAAAAGCACCCCGGGAGGGGAAUGAAACAGAACCUGAAACCGUAUGUUUACAAGCAGUCGGAGACCGUAUAUAUAUCAGGUCGACGGCGUGCCUAUUGAAGAAUGAACCGGCGAGUUAUGAGGUCCAGCGAGGUUAAGCAGGAAAUGCGGAGCCGAAGCGAAAGCGAGUCUUAACAGGGCGAGUAGUUGGACUGCAUAGACCCGAAACCACAGUGAUCUACCCAUGUCCAGGUUGAAGCACAGGUAAAAAUGUGUGGAGGACCGAACCUAUAUCCGUUGAAAAGGGUUAGGAUGAGGUGUGGGUAGGGGUGAAAUUCCAAUCGAACGUGGAGAUAGCUGGUUCUCCCCGAAAUAGCUUUAGGGCUAGCCUCAGGGUAAAGAUUGCAGGCGGUAGAGCACUGAUCAGGAGAGGGACCUACCCGGUUACCAAACCCAGUCAAACUACGAAUGGCUGCAAUUAUACCUGGGAGUCAGACUACGACUUAUAAGGGCCGUGGUCAAAAGGGAAACAGCCCAGAUCAUCAGCUAAGGUCCCAAAUGCCGUGCUAAGUGGCGAAGGAUGUGGCGUUUCAUAAACAACCAGGAUGUUGGCUCAGAAGCAGCCACCAUUUAAAGAGUGCGUAAUAGCUCACUGGUCGAGAGACGCUGCGCCGAAAAUGUCCGGGGCUCAAGCACGGAACCGAAGCUAUGGCAUUGCGCAAGCAAUGGGUAGGGGAGCGUUCUUAUGGGGAAGAAGCAUUACCGUAAGGAGAUGUGGACACAUAAGAAGUGAGAAUGCCGGUAUGAGUAUCGAAAAGAAAGGUGAGAAUCCUUUCCACCGAAAGCCCGAGGGUUCCUGAGCAACGAUCGUCGUCUCAGGGUAAGUCGGGACCUAAGCCGAGGCACAGACGCAUAGGCGAUGGACAACAGGUUGAAAUUCCUGUACCGGAUGGAGUCAUUUGAGCAAUGGAGUGACGCAGGAGGGCACAUGAUCGCGCGACUGGAAGAGCGCGUCCAAGUGCGUAUGUUGAAUCGGAGGCAAAUCCCCGAUUCUGAAAGCAGAGACAUGAUGGGGAGUUAUAAGCGAUUAUGACGAACUCAUGGAUCCCACACUGCCAAGAAAAACUUCUAGCGAGACGAAAUCCGCCCGUACCGUAAACCGACACAGGUAGGCGGGGAGAGAAUCCUAAGGUGCGCGGGAAAACCCUCGUUAAGGAACUCGGCAAAUUGCAUCCGUAACUUCGGGAGAAGGAUGGCCCUGAGUAGGCGAAGUGCAGAAACGCACGGAACAGAAAAGGGUGGCAGAAAAGAGGCCCAAGCAACUGUUUACCAAAAACACAGGUGCCUGCGAAAGCGAAAGCUGAAGUAUAGGUGCUGACGCCUGCCCGGUGCUGGAAGGUUAAGGAGAGAGGUUAGCGCAAGCGAAGCUUUGAACUGAAGCCCCAGUGAACGGCGGCCGUAACUAUAACGGUCCUAAGGUAGCGAAAUUCCUUGUCAGGUAAGUUCUGACCCGCAUGAAAGGCGUAAUGAUUUGGGCACUGUCUCAACAGCCCGCCCGGCGAAAUUGUAGU
rnacentral:rRNA from 1 species